rnacentral:rRNA from 1 species
UACGAAGGGGGCUAGCGAAGAGCGGAAUUACUGGGCGUAAAGCGCGCGUAGGCGGUGAUCUUUGUCAGAGGUGAAAGCCCGGGGCUCAACUCCGGAAUUGCCUUUGAAACGGGAUCGCUAGAGUCCGAGAGAGGAUGGCGGAAUUCCUAGUGUAGAGGUGAAAUUCGUAGAUAUUAGGAAGAACACCGGGGGCGAAGGCGGCCAUCUGGCUCGGUACUGACGCUCAGGCGCGAAAGCGUGGGGAGCAAACAGG